AGUGAACGCUGGCGGUAGGCCUAACACAUGCAAGUCGAACGGCAGCACAGUAAGAGCUUGCUCUUACGGGUGGCGAGUGGCGGACGGGUGAGGAAUACAUCGGCAUCUACUUUUUCGUGGGGGAUAACGUAGGGAAACUUACGCUAAUACCGCAUAUGACCUACGGGUGAAAGCAGGGGAUCUUCGGACCUUGCGCGAUUGAAUGAGCCGAUGUCGGAUUAGCUAGUUGGCGGGGUAAAGGCCCACCAAGGCGACGAUCCGUAGCUGGUCUGAGAGGAUGAUCAGCCACACUGGAACUGAGACACGGUCCAGACUCCUACGGGAGGCAGCAGUGGGGAAUAUUGGGCAAUGGGCGCAAGCCUGAUCCAGCCAUACCGCGUGGGUGAAGAAGGCCUUCGGAUUGUAAAGCCCUUUUGUUGGGAAAGAAAAGCAGCGGGUUAAUACCCCGCUGUUCUGACGGUACCCAAAGAAUAAGCACCGGCUAACUUCGUG
rnacentral:rRNA from 1 species